GGACUACAGGGGUAUCUAAUCCCGUUCGCUCCCCACGCUUUCGCACCUCAGCGUCAGUAUUAGGCCAGGCAGCUGCCUUCGCCAUGGGUGUUCCGACUGAUAUCUACGCAUUUCACCGCUACACCAGCCAUUCCACUGCCCUCUCCCAUACUCAAGCCUCCCAGUAUCCAAGGCACUGUUCACGUUGAGCGUUGAACCUUUCACCUCAGACUUAAGAAGCCGCCUACGCGCGCUUUACGCCCAGUAACUUCGGACAACGCUCGCCCCCUACGUAUUACCGCGGCUGCUGGCAC
rnacentral:rRNA from 1 species